UCCGGUUGAUCCUGCCAGAGGUCACUGCUAUCAGUAUUCGACUAAGCCAUGCGAGUCAAAUGUUCUUCGUGAACAUGGCGUACUGCUCAGUAACACGUGGAUAAUCUGCCCUAAGGUCAGGCAUAACUCCGGGAAACUGGUGAUAAUACCUGAUAUGUCAUAGACACUGGAAUGUUCUGUGAUCAAAAGCUCCGGUGCCUUAGGAUGAAUCUGCGGCCUAUCAGGUUGUAGUGGGUGUAAUGUACCUACUAGCCGACGACGGGUACGGGUUGUGAGAGCAAGAGCCCGGAGAUGGAUUCUGAGACAUGAAUCCAGGCCCUACGGGGCGCAGCAGGCGCGAAAUCUUUACAAUGCGGGGAACCGCGAUAAGGGGAUACUGAGUGCCAGCAUAUUAUGUUGGCUGUCCACCUGUAUAAAUAGCAGGUGUUAGCAAGGGCCGGGCAAGACCGGUGCCAGCCGCCGCGGUAACACCGGCGGCCCGAGUGGUGGCCACUAUUAUUGGGUCUAAAGGGUCCGUAGCCGGUUCGAUCAGUCUUCCGGGAAAUCUGACAGCUCAACUGUUAGGCUUCCGGGGGAUACUGUCGGACUUGGGACCGGGAGAGGUAAGAGGUACUACAGGGGUAGGAGUGAAAUCUUGUAAUCCUUGUGGGACCACCAGUGGCGAAGGCGUCUUACCAGAACGGGUCCGACGGUGAGGGACGAAAGCUGGGGGCACGAACCGGAUUAGAUACCCGGGUAGUCCCAGCUGUAAACGAUGCUCGCUAGGUGUCUGGGACGGUGCGACCGUUUCACGUGCCGCAGGGAAGCCGUGAAGCGAGUCACCUGGGAAGUACGGCCGCAAGGCUGAAACUUAAAGGAAUUGGCGGGGGAGCAC
rnacentral:rRNA from 1 species